rnacentral:rRNA from 1 species
CGAUCUCUUCGGAGUUGAGGGUAGUGGUGGAGCCGAUGAACCAGACUUGUAGUAGGUAAGCGAUGGGGUGACGCAGGAAGGUAGUCCAGCCCGGGCGGUGGUUGUCCCGGGGUAAGGGUGUAGGACGCACGGUAGGCAAAUCCGUCGUGCACAUAGUCUGAGACCUGAUGCCGAGCCGAUUGUGGUGAAGUGGAUGAUCCUAUGCUGUCGAGAAAAGCCUCUAGCGAGUUUCAUGGCGGCCCGUACCCUAAACCGACUCAGGUGGUCAGGUAGAGAAUACC